rnacentral:rRNA from 1 species
GAUGAACGCUGGCGGCGUGCCUAAUACAUGCAAGUCGAGCGAACAGGCGAGGAGCUUGCUCCUCUGACGUUAGCGGCGGACGGGUGAGUAACACGUGGAUAACCUACCUAUAAGACUGGGAUAACUUCGGGAAACCGGAGCUAAUACCGGAUAAUAUAUUGAACCGCAUGGUUCAAUAGUGAAAGACGGUUUUGCUGUCACUUAUAGAUGGAUCCGCGCCGCAUUAGCUAGUUGGUAAGGUAACGGCUUACCAAGGCAACGAUGCGUAGCCGACCUGAGAGGGUGAUCGGCCACACUGGAACUGAGACACGGUCCAGACUCCUACGGGAGGCAGCAGUAGGGAAUCUUCCGCAAUGGGCGAAAGCCUGACGGAGCAACGCCGCGUGAGUGAUGAAGGUCUUCGGAUCGUAAAACUCUGUUAUUAGGGAAGAACAAAUGCGUAAGUAACUAUGCACGUCUUGACGGUACCUAAUCAGAAAGCCACGGCUAACUACGUG